rnacentral:rRNA from 1 species
AGGGGGGGUAGAAUUCCACGUGUAGCAGUGAAAAUGCGUAGAGAUGUGGAGGAAUACCGAUGGCGAAGGCAGCCCCCCUGGGAUAACACUGACGCUCAUGCACGAAAGCGUGGGGAGCAAACAGGAUUAGAUACCCUGGUAGUCCACGCCCUAAACGAUGUCUACUAGUUGUCGGGUCUUAAUUGACUUGGUAACGCAGCUAACGCGUGAAGUAGACCGCCUGGGGAGUACGGUCGCAAGAUUAAAACUCAAAGGAAUUGACGGGGACCCGCACAAGCGGUGGAUGAUGUGGAUUAAUUCGAUGCAACGCGAAAAACCUUACCUACCCUUGACAGGGAUGGAAUCCUUCAGAGAUGAGGGAGUGCUCGAAAGAGAACCAGUACACAGGUGCUGCAUGGCUGUCGUCAGCUCGUG